AUUUGGUUCAGAUUGAAGUAUCUAAAAGAGCUAGGGGUAGGCCUAAAAUGACCCUAGGAGAAGUGAGGAAAAACAUACAUAGCUUAGGACUAGCAACAAGUAUGUCUUUGAAUAGAGCUGACUGAAGAAAGAUCCAUGUAGCUGACCCCAUUUCAUUGGGAUAAGGCUGAGUUGAGUU